AGCUCCGUGAUUAUACGCCUGAUUUGGGCGGUAUACGCUAUUCUGAUUAAAACAUGAGCGGAUAUAUGAAGAAAAUGAGAGCU